UUUUGUCACAUAUCUGCAUUUCUUUUCCCUUUUGUGUUUUAAUGCAAAAUAUGACUGCAAUUUACACUCACUUGAGAGUUGCAUCAAAUACCCAUGCACUAUUUCUGCCAUGAAUGUGAAAACAGUCAUGUGUGAGAGAUGUUUGAGCCGAUGGAUGUCUAGUUCAAUGCCCUCAAUCUUAUCCUCUGCUAGAUCUUAUUGGUUGAGGCACUUCUUCAUAC